rnacentral:lncRNA from 1 species
GCUGUGGAUCCACACCUCCAGUUCUACCAUCCCCAGAGGCUGAGCCUCGAGGACCACGACAUUGACCAAGGGGUGAGCAGUAACAGCAGCUACUUGAAGUGGAACAAGCCUGUCCCCUGGCUCUCAGAGAGAAGGGGUCUCACUAUGUCGGCCAGGCUAGUCUCAAACUUCUGGGCUCAAGCGAUCCUCCAGCUUCAGCCUCCUGACUAGCU